AUUACUACUAAUUAAUGUAAAAAUAAGUUUUAUUGCGGAAUUAAGUGAAAGCUAAGAAAGCAGAGAGAGAAGGGGGCCAUGGGCGAUCUACUGUCAUGGCUUCUUUCCUUCUUCCUUCUCGUUGCCGUUCUCGCCGCAGUACUUUACCAGGUCAUGUGCUUGGCGGACCUUGAAUAUGAUUAUGUCAACCCUUAUGAUUCAGCAUCCGAGAUUAACAGACUUGUGGUUCCGGAAUUUGUUCUUCAAGGAGCACUAUGCUUCCUACAUCUUGUGAUGGGGCAUUGGUUAAUGUGUCUGGUCUGUCUCCCGUACUUAUAUUAUGAUGUCAAAGUCUAUACCGAUCGUCGCCACUUGCUAGAUGUAACUGAGAUUUUCAAUCAGCUACCAUGGGAAAAGAAGAUUCGGUUGUUUAAGCUCGGAUACCUUGGGAUACUUCUUGCGUUUUCUAUAAUCUGUAUGGUCUGGAGCAUUGUGGCAGAAUGAAGAAUGAGGAAUUACUGAAGCAACUGAGGUUCCCCAGUUCCUUUCUCUGUUAUAUGGCAUUUGCAUAAGAAAAAAGAUGGAGGACAUUAACUUGGGUCAUUGAUGAAAGGAUGAUGCUGAUUGGAUGGGCAAGAGAACUUAAUCCAAUUUAAGGAUAGGAUUGAUUGUCCUCAACUAGGGAAAACAUAUUAAUAGUAGAUUAUUAAGAUACUAUCAAUGAUGCUGUUUAUCUUUUUACCUACUGAUACUUUUUUCUUCUCUCUCACAAGACUUUGACAAAUAGAAAGAAAUUACGGACUGA